AGCGCAGGCGGGGAAGACAAGUUGGAAGUGAAAUCUAUGGGCUCAACCCAUAAACUGCUUUUCAAAACUGUUUUUCUUGAGUAGUGCAGAGGUAGGCGGAAUUCCCGGUGUAGCGGUGGAAUGCGUAGAUAUCGGGAGGAACACCAGUGGCGAAGGCGGCCUACUGGGCACCAACUGACGCUGAGGCUCGAAAGCAUGGGUAAGCAAACA
rnacentral:rRNA from 1 species